rnacentral:rRNA from 1 species
AAAUUGAAGAGUUUGAUCAUGGCUCAGAUUGAACGCUGGCGGCAGGCCUAACACAUGCAAGUCGAGCGGAAACGAGUUAUCAGAACCUUCGGGGAACGAUAACGGCGUCGAGCGGCGGACGGGUGAGUAAUGCCUAGGAAAUUGCCCUGAUGUGGGGGAUAACC